ensembl:lncRNA
UUUUUUUUUUUUUUUUGGUCUGAGUCAACUUCCAUAGCUAAAUGUGAUUUGCUGCUUGUACUUGUGUGCCCAGCAAGGGAGUCUGCUUAAGCUUCUUGUUAUUUUUAUUUGUUCUGAACUGAGCAUUAGAAGUUUGAAUGGGACAAAGCAGACAAAGAAGGAAGAUGAAGUGAAGCUGCCCUACAGUAUUUCAGCACUGAGAUAACUAAGUAGAGAUACUGGCUAAAUGGUCUUCAUCGUGGAAUGCCCUGUUGGAGUUACAUUCCUGUUUUGGAAGUAGUUUAAAUUUACAAGUUUAUGGCUGCAUUUGGACCAAGCAAGAUCUUUAGAUCUGUAUUACUGGAGUCAAACAUUGAUAUUGCAGCCUUCUGCUUUGCAGGCUGCAGAACUGUCGAAUACUUCAUUCUGGAAGUGUUUCCUGUUUCCCCUUUUGCCUGCUCUCCAAACUGAACCUGGCUUUAUCUCCUUUGGAUAGCCAUGUCACUAGAAGGGAAAACUGUUUUUAAAAGGGAAUUGGCAGAUUUUAAACGAAUGUCUCCCUCAUUGUGAAAUGGUGUAUUUUAACUUGUUGCUCGAUGUAAUGUUAUAAAGCAGGUUGCAUAAACUCUUAGCUGCAGUUUUUUGUCAUCCUAAGGUUAGAUUGUAGUUACAGAAAGAGACCUGUGGUCUACUUUAUCUCAGAAAAGAGCAAGGGACAUUCAACAAAUUAACUAAGGGUUUUGACAUAAAAUAGCUUUCCAUAGGAGCUGGAAUACUUAGAGUACACUGUUAUCUUGUCUCGUGUGUGCCAGGUCCUGUAUUGCAGAGAAGGUGAACAGUUGUGCAAUGUUUCCUGGGCCCUGUCAUUGACAUGGGCAAAUUUUCUCACUGAGUGUUAAGUUCAGCUUUUUUGUGGGGACCGGGUAGCCUGUUGAAGAGUAUCUGGAGUACUGAUGUUCAUCUGUAGUAUGAAUUUUGUUUCAUUAAAAUGCAAGAUUGUGUUUACGUUCCAGUAUGUUACUGUGUCACUGAAGCAGUUCUGGUGCUGGCAGUAAUGGGAAAAGCUUAGUUUAGCCCUCAAAACCAAUGUAUUUUUUUAUAUUUGUAUCAAACUGCCAAAGAAUACUUCUCAUACCUGAGUUCCCUCAGUCCUCAAAACUUCUGCCUAUCUCAGCUAAAAAGAUGUGUUUAAUACUGGAGACAGAUCUCAAGGCCUACAAUUUGUCUACUGAGGGUUGCUUAAUAAAACUAAAAUGAUUAGUUCAGCUGCAUUUGAUUCAACUUAAAGCUCUUCUGAUGGCCAGUUUAAUUGUGAAUUAAGUGUUCCUCCUGGAAUUAAUGUAGUUGAACUAAUUCAUGUUAUCACUUAGUUGGGAUUAUUUUAUUGUCCCCGUGUGGGCAAUCUUCAGUGAGGUGUGCCAAAAGCACUGUGCAUAUCCACGACUUGAUCUCUGAAUGUACAUCCUUGCCCUUAGCGCCUCUCCCCAUCUUGUUCUGUGUGAAGGUCUGUGCUAUCGCUGUGACAUGUUUGGGUACCUGUACAUAAUGUGUAAAAUGAGUUUUUAUGAUUAGGGAAUCAAUUUAUUGAACUUUAUUAUUGAAAGCUGAAUCUGUAAAACAAUAACUCAAUAAAAGACUAUAAUCUUUCUACAGGCUAUGGUGAUACAUUAAUAAAUCUGGAAGUUCAGCUGGGGUGCUGUAGUUCAAUUCAUGUUACUACAUGACUCUGGGGAAGUAGAGAACUUCCAAUGUUGUAUUCUUUUGUGCUCUUUAAUUGCUUUCUGUAGUGUAAAAACUGGGCAAUUUUUUCAUCUACCACUUCCAACUUAGAUGCUUUUAUGAAAGUUUUCAUAGUAAAGCAUUUACUGUAAAAAUAUUUCUUUGCUAGUCCUUGGAACUUGCUAAACUUGUUCCUGGCUACUGAAAAGCUUGCUUCCUCUCCCUGCUGCUGAGUUGGUCAUGGGCUGUGCUGGGCCUCCUGCCAGCCCUGUUGUGGAGCAGGGUGAAGUGAGAGUGUGGUGUGGAAGAAGCCUCUGCAAUCUGAGUGAUGCCUGCAUGCUGAGCAGGAAAAGGGAAGCUUGUGUUAAGGUGAGUUUUGAAAAUACAGUGGGAAUCAUGGUGCCAAGCUGACCUUCAGCCAGCCUUCCCCGUUGUACUAGGAACUGUGUUGCUGGCACAUCAGGGAUGGUGAUCCUUUCCUCAGAUCUGCAGUGGUGUGUUCAGACCUGAGCUUCCUUGGUACAAGGGAGACACAGAUUUAAUGAACCUAGGCCACCAAAAGGCUGUGAUGGUAGGAAGUAGAGGAUCUGUUCUACAGAGGUUGAGCUGGAACUGCUCUGCUUGGAGGAUGCUGAGGAUUCUUACCAAUACACAAAUGCAUGAUGGAAGGGGGUCUAAACACAGCCAGGCUCUUCUUGAUGCUGCUUAGUGGCAGGAUGAGAGGCAAUGGGCAUAAAUUGAAAUACAGGAGAAUGUUGAAACAUCAGAAAAACCUUUUACUAUGAGGGUGGUCAGACAGUGGAGCAGGUUGCCCCUAGAGGCUGCUGUGGAGUCUUCAAAACCAGUAUGUGUCCAUGGGGAUGACUAGGACUAAAUCGCCUCCAGAGACUCCUCCUAACCUCAGCUGGAGCUGGCUGUGGAGCAGUGUUAGAUGUGGUGCUGCUGGGCUCUCCUACCUCAGCUGUUUUUUUAAUAGUCAGCAAUGGAGGUUUGCUUCAUUUCAAUAGCAAAGAAUAUGAGAACUUUCUGUGUGGUGGAAAAUUCUUCAGUUGCACCAACGUGAGAGCUUCGCUUCACAGUAACUGCUUCUCAUUAACAAAUUAUUCAUGUUUCUGUGUAUUUCCUCUUCUUUUCCUCUUUCAGUGGGGCCUGGUAGUGGAUCUGGUAAAGGAGCUAGAUGAGAUUCUGAAAUAGUUGCUUUACAGCAGGGAAUUUGUGAACAUGGACAACAAUCCAGCUGUUACAGAAAAUAGGCCUACAAAGCAGUUCUUGAUAUUAUAGUGCUUUUUAGGACUUCUUGUAUGAACAUUCACUAAGCAACUGUACAGCAUAGCAUGCUGCACUGAGCUGAAUAUUGGUAAGUGAGUAGAAGGUAAAGUAAUUCUUUAUAGAAGAGAGUAUGCUCUUAAGUGCUUUCUAAAAUACUUCACAAAAAUGACAAGAAAAUAGAACCUGCUGGUUUGAUUUCCUGUGUAUUUCAUGAAUUCAGCUUUUAUGUGAAAUCAUAACUUCCCUGAAUAGUCCCAUAUAUUUUAGACAAUUACAUCUUUUUGUCUUUACUGUUGAAAUAAUGUUUCACUAUUAUUCGUGCUGAUUCACUGGUUCUGAGGGACAGGUAUACCUAUAAAAUCAGAGGGUAGGUGCAGACAGGUUUUGGUCUUUGCUGAUCCCAAGGUACCAGCUGCCUUGCAGGUAGGCACUGUCCUGCAUUGCUGGACUGUGCUGCCCAGCCAGAGCUUGUGCAGGAGGAGCUCUGGGGGCACGGGGACAGGUGCUCUGCUUCAUGCUGGCUUCCAUGCUGUCAUCUUCCCUGAAGGCACAGCCCCCGCUCAGUCAUCUGUUUCUUGGAAAGAUGUUCUUUUUGCUGCUUCCAAGCUCUUAAUGUAACAACAGCAGCUUCAGCUCAGGGGCAAGGAAGGGACUGGAGAAUAAGGCUGAGCUGUUGCCCAUCCUAUGCAAAACCUUCUAACUAGUGUUGCUGUGAAGGCUACUAUUUGUCCAUUUUUCCACGCACCAUGGAUGAGUGUAAACAACUCCUAACUGUGAGCAAAGCUACUUUGAUAAGCUUGAAAUGUUCAAGCAAAUGAAUCAAAGGCCAUGCUUUAAAGCCCACAACUUUUUUUUCCCUCAGAUCUGCCAAAUUAAAAGGGAGAGAGACUUGCAAGCCCUUCCUCUGCUGUAUGUUUGUCUGUGUUAAAUGAUGUGAGACCUCCUUGAAUUCCAUUGAAUCACUGCUGAGAGCUGUAGGAUUAUUCCCUAAUUGCAUCCUAAACAACUUUUUUAGAUGAUAAAUAAUAUCAUGUAUUAUACAGAAGCAUGCCUCAGCCUAAACUUUGAAGUGCUUCACAAAUUAAUAUUUAAUGAAACUGUUCGCCUGGAGGUUUUUGCUGUACUAUGUAACUGGCUGAAUACACACAAACCAGGGCUCUUUCAUCUCCUUGACAAGCCUUACUGCUUUAAUAUAGCAUAUUUUCUCCAACUGUGUGAAGUCAGUCAGUUCUCAGUUUUCUACACAUCUACCUGGCCUGCAAAAAUAAUACCUUGUCGCCCCAAAAAUCCCCCACAUAGCAGGAGACCCUAAUGGAUGCAUCAUAUAGAAAACACACUUUUGGGGGAAUGUUUAAUGGAACAAAACAUGUCUAAUAAAUGAUUUUGUAAUACACUUCAUCGUGGUGAUCUAUGUUAUGUUAUUGCAUAGUGUGGGUGCUGUUUGACAGCUGGCUAAACAUGAAACAGCAGUGUGCACAGGUGGCCAAGAAGGACAGUGGCUUCCUGGCUUGUAUGGAAAUUAGUCUGACCAGCAAGACCAGAGGAGUAAGUGAUUGUCACCUUGUACUCAGCACCUCAAAUCCUGUGUCCAGUUCUGGGCCCCUUACUACAAGAAGGACAUUGAGGUGCUGGAGCGAGUCCCGAGAAGGGAAACAGAACUGCUGAAGGUCAGAAGCACAAGGCCUGUGAGGAGCAGCAGAGGGAGCUGGGGUGGUUUAGCCCGGAGAAAAGGAGGCUCCAGGGGAACCUUAUUGCUCCCUUCCUGAAAGGAGGUUCUAGCUAGAUUGGGGUGGUCUCUUCUCCCAGGUAAUUGUGGUAGGACAAGAGGGCAUAGCCUCAAGCUGUGCCAGUGGAGAUUCAGACUGGACAUCAGAAGAAAUUUCCUCACAGAAAUGGUGGUUAAGCAUUGGAAUGGGCUGCCCAGGGAGGUGAUGGAGUCACCAUCCUAGGAGGUGUUCAAGAAAUGACUGAAUGUCUCCCUUAAUGCUGUGGUCUAGUUGACAAGGUGGUGACCAGUCAAAGGUUGAACUUGAUCUCAGAGGUAAUUUCCAGCCUCAAUGAUUCUGUGAACAUUAGAAGCC